rnacentral:pre_miRNA from 1 species
UUGAAGAAUUUGAAGACUUCAACUUGCAUAUUUAGAAGAUUUAAAGACUUCAACUUGCAAACUUGGAGGUUUCAAAGACUUUGGUU